rnacentral:lncRNA from 1 species
CUCUAAUGUCAUACGUUAUUUGGAUUGUGGAAGUUUACAAUGGACUUUUUAAGUUAAUCCCACGAUCAUCUCCCCUGCCAGCACAUAGUCGAAUGGACAGAUUUGUUUGAGGCCCGCUUUGUUAAGCUAGAUGGUUGUUUAUUUGUUUUCUCCCCCUCUUUCUUUCAUAUCGGAAGGUGUUUGAUUUUGCUUUUGUUUGGGUGUUUGAUUUGAGGUGACAGUUGGCUUGGUUGUGAAUGGGCCAUGGCGAAGCCUCCAUUGCAUGAGGUGCUACCAUGUGGAAAGGCCUGAUGGAUCUUGUUGAAUGCCACUGUGUGGGGCUCUGUGGGGGAGUGGUCCGAGGGCAAUCAACCAGAAACUGCCCCCAGUGACAGCCAUGAGAGAGGGAACAAUCCGGGCCUCAGCCAAUAGUGGGAGUAAUUGGUCAAUCAGAUCUUCACACCUUCAAUCAGUCAUCAAGGCAAUGAUGUUGAUUUCUUUUCAACUAGAAAAAUAAUCAUGUCGAGUGAGGACUCUAGUAUGAUUUUUCUGUCUUUCGACCAAAUCAGCCUUCCAUAGCUUCAAGACAUUACAGAGAAAUUGGAGAGUAAAUUGUAUACUAUAGCACCAGUAUGUUUGAAAAACACGUUAUUCAUCUGGUGAUCAAUGGCCUAAACAGGGUUUUAAUCACAUUUACUCGGCUAAAUUUAUACAUUUGAAUUCUGCUUUGAUAACAAACACAAUACUUACACCAAUAUGGCACGUCUGACUAGACUGAAACUCCUGUUGGAGCGUUUGUAUAGCAACAACACUCACAAUGUCAAUUUUAGCAGGUUGUGCAGCGGUUCCUGCCUGCUGCAUUGCAGGUGCUGAGUGAGACAUUUGAGCUCAGGGCUCAGCGAGGGAACGAGAGAGACGAGGGCCUUGACAGGAAGUGACAGGCGGUGAUGUCACCUCCUCCGGUGGCACAGUGGUACCUGGCUCUUUGUCUGUUUUCCCUAGCUACUGUCAUUACCAACGGAAGAAUCCAGGGGAACUGGAACAAGGCCCCAACGACUGUUCUUGGCUGUUAUCUGUGGUUGUAUAGCUAUAUACAUGCCGUUGUGGCUGUUAAUGUGACAAAUUGGCCUUUUACAAAGUGUUAUGCAAGUAAAAUUUGAUUGAAUGAAAACAUUUAUGGGUAGAGAUUUUAGCAAAGUUAGAUUAGCUUUCUGACAUCAGUUUGUAUUUAUUUUUCAGGCAGUAAUAACGUUUUUUUUCUCUCCAAUUAGCUACAAUUUGUACGAUAAGCAUGAAUACUAUUUGAAGAGAAGAUGAUAUGAAGUCAGUGACAGACUCCCAUAAAGGAUGCACGGAGUAAGGGGGGAAUAAGCAGGAAAUCCAGAAUCUUCCAACCAGGAUUUCUGGAACACCAGGGAGUUCAUUGACAGUUCCUGGAAUUUUGCAACCCUACCCCAGAGGAAAGACGGCCUUUGCACUGCCUGCCUGAAAAUGGCACAAAAACAGGAGUUCCACAAAACCUCCGAGACUCUACUGUAGCCCUGUCUGGAGUGGAGGGAGGGAAAGAG